rnacentral:piRNA from 1 species
GAAAUGUCAGCUAUGUGCUCUUUCCUGCC